GGAGAGAAAAGAGAGAAAAUUUUUUUCUCAUAUUUUUUUUUCUCAUAUUUUUUUCUUUUCUUUUCUUUUUCUUUUCUUUUUCUUUUCUUUUUUUUUUUUUCUUUUUCUUUUCUUCCUUCUUCUUCUCGUGGCUCUCCCAUGGGUGAAACAGGGGACCGUGAGGUCCCCUCAUAAGGUUGGCUGACCGACAGCCGGCUGACACAAGAAUGGCC
rnacentral:lncRNA from 1 species